rnacentral:piRNA from 1 species
UCCUGGCGACUAUGGAAUAGAGGCACACU